UCCCCAUCCGAAGUUGGUCAGGGCUGGAAUGAGCAGC
rnacentral:SRP_RNA from 13 species